AAACCCUAAACUAAUUCCCAGAAUCCACAUUUGCUUCUUCCUCCGCGGCCACAGUUGAAGAGAACGCUGCAAACUAAGCUUCGAUCAUGGAGAGAUGCGUGCCCGCGACCGGCUUGGGUACGAGUAACAAUACUGACAGACCGAUGAGAGGCGAGAGGCGCAGGGGCGAUGGCUCCCAAGACCUUUUCCUUUGUAAUCUCAACUUUGCUGACGACGGCGACGAGGAGAAGCAAAGGGUGGCACGAAGAAGCGCCUCUGGCUCGAGCCUCCACUAUAUCAUUAUUGCAUGUGGGGCAGCAAACCCACGAAGAGAGACCAUCCAAAAGAGGAUUUUGGUCAGUUCCCGCAGUCGCCAUUCAAGGAUUUCUGUCGAAAUUAUAUGGAUGGCUUCGGGGUUUCGCGGCAGAGAUCGUCGUCACGGUCUGCUGGACGACGUAGGGGAGAGGAACGCUGGAGAAUUUUGAUUGUGGCGGGUGAGGAAGCGAUCGAAUUGGGGAUUCUCCGGCGCAAAAGUCCAAUCUUGGAGAAGUUGGCUGGCAUAACGUAAGAAGGUGGAGGAAGCCGAUCAAAAAGAUAGAAAUUGGUGGGUGAGUCUGCUGGACGACAUUGGUGGUGGCUGAGUCUGCCACAUAGGAGGCACCACCAGAAGUCACCGAUGACAUUUUCAAGAAGAUCAAGGUGACCGGGCUAAUACCUAAUGCUGUUGCCAUGGUUGUUGUGCUCUGCAAAGGCGGGCUAGUUCAGGAAGCCAUGAAGCUGUUUGGAUUAAUGCGUCGGAAGGGUAUGGUACCUUAUGAUGUGAUUCACAUUGCUGUUGUGGCAGGAAUCCACAAGACAGCAAAAUUUGAUGAUAUAAGGAGGAUCUUCAGGAAAACGCAUAAGCACAGAGUUGUGCCGAUUGCAUUCAGCUACAAAAUUCUCAUUCAGGGCUUAUGCAGAGGAUAGAAAUUGGAGGAUUCAGUUGAGUUCUGCACGGAGAUUGUUGGGCACUGGGCAUUCACCAAGUGUGAUGGCUUUUAUGGGUUUGGUCGAUGGAUUCUGUAAAAAGAAGGGGUGAAGGAAGCUGAGAAUGUUGUCAAGAGGCUGCAGGAGGGAGAUGUUUUGUUCUUGAUGGAAAAAGCUGUUGGAGUGCAUUUGGACAAGACAGGAACAUUCUCGCCAAUGGUUCUGAAGGCCAUCGUCAGGAAAAAGAACUCAUGAAGACGACGUCAGAACAACUCUCCUUAGUGCUGGAUUCUUCUUGCAUGAUCGCAACACAUUUAGAGUUCCGGUGACUGCAGGAUCCAGUAUCUCAGCCUGCUAAAUGUCAACACCAGGAGCCAUGGCCACAAACAACAAAAUGAGACAAAUUUCCACAAAUGCAACUAAGCUGUAUGUUCUCCUGACCAUUUUUCUCUCUCUUUUGCAAGCGGUUUUAAGAGAGAACUAUUUUCCAUGUGUCCAACUCCAAAUAAGAGGGAAGAAUAGCAGUUUUCAGCUACUGUUCAAAUGGACAUGCCAUGAUGAGAGGAACUGCAUACCUUGGGAUACAUGGCUACGACCACGGGAGAUGCGGUAUGGAAGACACCUUCACAUCCCAUUACGGCAUCAUCAAAGCUGCCUUCAUCCAUGAGAUUGGCCUUCACAAGCUGAAGCCUGUCCUUUGUACCUUCCAACUCCCACAGAUGGGCCAAUUUCUUAUGGCCCCCUGCAAAUCUGUUAUUGGACAUGAGUUGAUGAUGAAGAAGAAGAAAUGGAGUGAUGGAACCUGGGUCUCGGACUGUUCCUAUUACAUGAUACCCAGACUGUAGAAGUCGCUUAACAAGCCAAGAAGCAACAUAACCAGAAGCGCCUGUCACACACACCCUGCCUUUGCUACCUGAAACCUCCUCCAUUCUGUCAGAAAUGUGGAGACUUCCAUGUCCAUUUAUACAUGUACUCCAGAGCUCGUUAUGUAAGCCAAGAUGGGUAGUUCAUCACCUUUUGAUGUUCUCUGACGUUACUUGUAACUUGAGUCUGGUGGAGAGUCGAUGGAAAAACUAGCACUCAUACGUAUCAUGUCAUGCACACUCUUGGUGGACAUAA